rnacentral:rRNA from 1 species
UACAGAGACUGCGAGCGUUAUUCGGAUUCACUGGGCGUAAAGGGUGCGCAGGCGGCCGUGUGUGUGAGGCGUGAAAGCCCGGGGCUUAACCCCGGAAUUGCACCUCAAACUACACGGCUAGAGCAUUGGAGAGGGUAGCAGAAUUCAUGGUGUAGCAGUGAAAUGCGUAGAUAUCAUGAGGAAUACCAGAGGCGAAGGCGGCUACCCUGGACAAUUGCUGACGCUCAGGCACGAAAGCGUGGGGAGCAAAAGGG